UACGGUUGCAUGGCAACGUCCCCGGUUGCCAUGGAGACUCCAUGUGUAAGCAGCUGCUGCAAUCAGCAUUAACUCCGGGCUCGCAGGAGUCCUGUCUUCAAAUAGUGCAGCAGUGCAGCGGUAAAGGCAAACUAAUUGUGUCUGAGUGUCAAAAAGGCUUCUCUGGCUGAGCGAGCCUGGCCACAGCUGAUUCCAUGCCUGGUGUGGUCUUGACGGUAUCUGAGCAAACGCAGACAAUAAGAGUGUGCAGCUGGCGCUGAAAGACUCACCAAAUCCUAUGCUGUACUUACCAUGGAUGUUAGCAGAUUAAAUCAUAAAUACUCACACAAGAAUCUACUCUCCAUUAUCAAAGAUGCCACCGAGGGAAGACACUUCACAGAGAUUAUUUGAUUUAGAGAGUAGUCCAACAUUGUUCUGAGUUAAUAAAACAACAGGACAACCACAGCAGCAAUACUUAGGCUUCACGUGAGAACGGUUUUUAGUCUGUGCCCUAAGCAAUGCACCAGUCAUUCAUUCAUUUAGUAAUAAAGAUUACAUUUCAGCA